GGGGACGGAGCAGAAUUCAUUUUCUGUUUGGCUGUUGGUCAUUUAUGUCUCAGAGGUCCCUCGCGCACUUGGUGCAGAUGUCUCAUCGUCUCCAUCGUGCAGUUCAGCUGGAGUUGAAUGUGAAAGGAUCCGAACCUGAGGUGGAAAUAGAUUUGUCGUCCCGAGCUCCUGUCAUCGAGAGAGAGAGCGAGAGAGAGAGAGAGAGAGAGAGAAACCUGAGCUCCAUCACGUGAUGGACGACGUGCGUCUGCGGCUCGGAGACGCUCCUCGCAGAUCACAGGCCGUGUGGCAGUUGGGACACUUUCCUCAGGAAGUGUCCGCCCGUUGAGGACCGCAACUCAAACUAUACGCGUAUUAAUCAAAGCUAACAUACAACAAUGAAGUUAUCUUCCGGAGUUCUGCCGACGGUG